UCUGUAGAAUGGGCACACGAUGAGCGACCACCCUCUCGGAGACAAACCACUGAUGAAAGCGAGGUGUAAAGCUCCUUGUGGGCAAUCUGGGAAGGACAGAACUCCUGAGACCUUGAGCCCCACCACAAGAGCGCCCGGAAAUCGGUUCAUUUCCGAGCCCAGCACGUACGUGCCCGCGGGUUCCUCUGCCACGGCGUGGUUGGCCAGACUCUGCCAGGCCCGCUCGCAGGUCUCCAGCGCCGCCCGGAAGUCCAGGUGCACCACCAGGAGGUCGGCCGCCUCCUCCAGAAGGUCCACGGCCGGCGCCCGGGCCGGGACCGCGCGCACCGGCUCGCUGCUGCGCAGGGGUCCCCCGAGCCCCCUGAGGGGGGCUGCAGAGGUCGAAGAAUCGCUCUUCAUAACGAGUCCGGGUCCAAGGCCCAGGUCCUCAGACGUCGGAGUGACCGCCUCCCCAGAGGCUCCGGGAUAUCCCGAGUUGGCCUGGGCGAAGAGGGAGAGUCCUCAUCUCUUUGCCCACACCCCUUCCCGAGGUCGAUUCCCCGAGAAGGAAAAGGAAGGGGCCUAUCUGAGGCAAAAGCUGGGCUCGCCUGGAGGCUGGGGAAGCAGUUUACACGUCAGAUUUGCAGGAUUCUUGCAUCCCUGGAAUACCUGGCCCUAGCUUCUCCGGCCCCGCGACACGUGCAGGAACUGCCUCAGCUCCGGGCUCCUGGUUACGAUCAAA
ensembl:lncRNA novel transcript